UACGUAGGGUGCAAGCGUUGUCCGGAAUUAUUGGGCGUAAAGAGCUUGUAGGCGGUUUGUCGCGUCUGCUGUGAAAUUUCGGGGCUCAACCCCGAACUUGCAGUGGGUACGGGCAGACUAGAGUGUGGUAGGGGAGACUGGAAUUCCUGGUGUAGCGGUGAAAUGCGCAGAUAUCAGGAGGAACACCGAUGGCGAAGGCAGCUGCCUGGCCCAGAACUGACGCUGAGGUGCGAAAGCGUGGGGAGCGAACGGG
rnacentral:rRNA from 1 species